UCUGCCGCCGGAUGAAAUCAUACGGAUGUUAUGCACUGUCCGAGAGCGCAAAAACCCCAUGUGGAAUUCCGUUGCCUUCCUUCUGACCUCGCUU
rnacentral:snoRNA from 1 species